rnacentral:rRNA from 1 species
UGGGGAAUAUUGCACAAUGGGCGCAAGCCUGAUGCAGCCAUGCCGCGUGUGUGAAGAAGGCCUUCGGGUUGUAAAGCACUUUCAGCGAGGAGGAAGGUGGUGAACUUAAUACGUUCAUCAAUUGACGUUACUCGCAGAAGAAGCACCGGCUAACUCCGUGCCAGCAGCCGCGGUAAUACGGAGGGUGCAAGCGUUAAUCGGAAUUACUGGGCGUAAAGCGCACGCAGACGGUUUGUUAAGUCAGAUGUGAAAUCCCCGGGCUCAACCUGGGAACUGCAUUUGAAACUGGCAAGCUAGAGUCUCGUAGAGGGGGGUAGAAUUCCAGGUGUAGCGGUGAAAUGCGUAGAGAUCUGGAGGAAUACCGGUGGCGAAGGCGGCCCCCCUGGACGAAGACUGACGCUCAGGUGCGAAAA